ACAGCCAGAGAGUCAACAGGAACACACAGAGCAGGAAGAGGAUCCUGAGUGGAGCUCCGGCGGGGGGUCCCGUCGGGGCCUCCGCCCUGAGGACAUGGGGGCCAAACGCGGCCAUCUCCUCCACCAGCAGCAGGCAGCACAGGCAGAGCGUGAGGGUGUCCUGGGACACUUCGUAGCCGCGCCACACCUGGCCCGCUCGGAGGCAGGACGCCUUGCUCUGGGCCUCCUGCAGCAGCAGCAGGGGCUGUCCGGCGAGGUCGCUCCCCCCGCCCGCCGCCGCCGCCGCCACGGGCUGGAAGCAGGUCCCGGCGGCGUCCUCCAGGAGGCACACCAGACGCCCGGUGCCCCACCAGAGCAGCCCGGUGAGGGCGAGACGCGCUAGGUGGCGCAGCGACAGCAGGGCGGAGCGCCGUGCCGAGUAGGAGAGGAGGACGACGAAGGAGCCGGCCACGCAGAAGGUCCAUCCCCACGCCGACACCAGGAACUUCCUGCCGGACAGAGGAAGUGGUUCCUGUUGGCGAAGAUGCUGUAGCUGGACGUCCAGAGGCUCAGCAGCGGGCCGAACAGAACCAGCGCGUUGAGCGGCAGGUGGAAGUGACCCGCCGGGCCGCUGCCCACCACCGCGGCCAGGAGGUUGGUGAAGAGCACCAGGCCGGCAUUCAGUAUCCUCCCCAGGAACCUAGCAGGCAGCGCCACUUCCGAGGCCACUUUGUACAAUUUACCCAAGUUGACGUCCGGCCAGGAGCCAUCAUUUGAUGAAGAAACGGCCUUCAUCUCGAGUGGGACCUUGUUGUUGAGCUUCUACGGUGGGGGAGGAUUUCUCCGUGUGGACUAGUGGGUGACUGCCCAGACCCCGUCUGUUCCUGUUGAAUCACCCUGGCACCCUGACCCACGGCACAUGCUGGGUAAAAAUAACCCCCGUCUCUCCACAGCCCCCCUAUAAAUAGCCCUCUCAUUCCUUAGAGGAAGCUUUAGUUCAGAAGUAUGUCCAUGUAUCAAAGCCAGAGGAUCAGUGACACAUACAUGUAUUACAGCCAGCCCAAGGAUCUGUAACACAUACAUGUAUUACAGCCCAAGGAUCUGUAACGCAUACAUGUAUUACAUGAUCUGUAACAGAAUACCUGUAUUACAGUCAAUGGUUCAGUAGUGCAUAUAGAAAGUAACAUGCGGGAUGUAAUGUAAGACAAGAUAAAUAUUAUAUAUGCUACACAUAAAUAUAGCCAGAGUUUUUUUAUUCAAAGUCUUGAGCUUUAUGAAAGGAUAACAAUUAAGAAUAAUUCAGAUAAUAAUUUGCACCUGUUGGUGCAGUAAAGCAUUCCUCUCCCUCACCGACGAGCAUUAACAUGACGUGAACCUGCCAGUUAACAACUACUGAAGUUAAUCAGAAUGAGUCUGGGAACUUUUGAGGUCUUGCUUUGAAUCUAAGGGUAAGAAAUGUGUUUCCUUCACCACCUCCAUGUCCGUCGAGGGGACUUCAUGUGCGGCAAUCGAAUAUAAACAAUGUGUCGAGAAUUAAAUAAUAGUUUUUUGCCUUG